UCUCCGUAGGUGAACCUGCGGAGGGAUCAUUACCGAGUGAGGGCCUCCGGGUCCGACCUCCAACCCCUUUGUUGUACCGACCCUGUUGCCUCGGGGGCGACCCGGCCUUCGGGCGUCGGGGCCCCCGGUGGACCACCCAACCCUGCAUCGUUGCGUCUGAGUCGAAAUAUAAAUCAAUCAAAACUUUCAACAACGGAUCUCUUGGUUCUGGCAUCGAUGAAGAACGCAGC
rnacentral:misc_RNA from 1 species